rnacentral:rRNA from 1 species
AUUGAACGCUGGCGGCAGGCCUAACACAUGCAAGUCGAACGAGUGGCGGACGGGUGAGUAAUUUCUGGGAAACUGCCCGAUGGAGGGGGAUAACUACUGGAAACAGUAGCUAAUACCGCAUACCAUCGGAUGUGCCCAGAUGGGAUUAGCUAGUAGGUGGGGUAACGGCUCACCUAGGCGACGAUCCCUAGCUGGUCUGAGAGGAUGACCAGCCACAAUGGAAAGUAGACACGGUCCAGACUCCUACGGGAGGAAGCAGUGGGGAAUAUUGCACAAUGGGCGAAAGCCUGAGGCAGCCAUGGCGCGUGUAUGAAGAAGGCGUUCGGGUUGUAAAGUACUUUCAGUGAGGAGGCGUUACUCGCAGAAGAAGCAACGGCUAACUCCGUGCCAGCAGCCGCGGUAAUUC